rfam:Trichobilharzia regenti genome assembly, scaffold: TRE_contig0008605
GUACUGAUGAAGAGUCCCAAAGGGCUAGGACGAAACAGCUUUCCAGUAC